rnacentral:rRNA from 1 species
GCAAGUCGAGGGGUGACAUUGAUUGCUUGCAAUCAGAUGACGACCCGCGCACGGGUGCGUAACGCGUAUAGAACCUACCCUUUACAGAGGUAUAGCCCAGAGAAAUUUGGAUUAAUACCUCAUAGAGUCAUAUAUUGGCAUCGAUUUAUAAUUAAAGAUUUAUCGGUAAGAGAUGGCUAUGCGUCCUAUUAGUUAGUUGGUAAGGUAACGGCUUCCCAAGACGUCGAUGGGUAGGGGUCCUGAGAGGGAGAUC